AAAAAAAAAAAAAAAAAAACAUCUCCUUCUCUUUUUUUCUUCCCCCCCCUUUUCCACUGUGCAAUUUUUUCUUUCUAAUUCUUCCUUUAUCAUCUGCAUAAUCGUGUAACAAUACAUAAGACCA
rnacentral:ribozyme from 1 species